CAGGUCUUAAGAAGUCCCUCUUUGAAAUUUCGAUAGGGCACUGUAAGAUACGGAUCGAGUAGAUUACCCGAACAUUCCACAAAGAACGAAAGGAGUAGAAAUACUGGAAGACUGAGAUCCCAAAGUCAAAAUUUACAGGAAUACAGAAAGAUGAAGCAUCUUUGCCUUGUGUUCGCGAUGUUGAUACUUUGCAUUCAAGUGUCGGAUGCGGCAGCGACCACAACGGCUUCCGCGGGUGGAGGUGGAAACAGCGGUGGAAGCGGAGGCGGCGGUGGCGGUGGAGCUGGCUGUCUGGUUGCGGGUUUACUUCCCCUUGUGAUCGCCAUAACAACGAGCGCGCAUCACCUUUUCAAGUAGUCAAGGCUGGUUGUCAGGGCGAUAAAGUUAUUCUGAUUCCUCGAAAACUUUAACAUUUAUCAUUAUCGUAUGUCAUAGAAAUACAGUUUAAUAGUCAAACACAUCAAAUAAUCUUUAUUCAUCAUGUGUUUACAUUCAUUUUAUAUGGAUGUAUUAUACACCAGUUCACUGUGAAAUGGAGGAAAAGAAACACCCCUUUAGGCCGGAAAUAGUGGAGCCCUCUUCCGGGUUAUGAUACAUUUCAAUGAGACGUUUAAAAGGCCACUGUGAGUCAUUUGCUUCUCGAAAUUCACGGAGUGUAUUGAAGAAAAUGAAUAAAUUUCUC